UUUGAUGCAUUAUAUAUAAACCUAUGAACCUUGAAGGGGAUUUGCAUGACUAUAGCUUUGAUAUUUUUGAUAAAUUGCUUCCGUUGCUCAUGUAUAUAAAUCUUGAAUUGUAUAUGCAUGCUAGUCAUUUAGAAAUCCCAUGUGUUAAGCUCAUAUUUUUUCCCUUCAAGUGGUAUCAGAGCCAAAGGUUUAUAUAUAAUGUGUCCUUUUGGAUUUUAUGCAUAUGGGUAUUAAUAUUAUGUAUGACAUAAUUAUUGGUUUCAUUCAAAAAUAAGUUUAUCUUUUGUUUUUUUCAAUAGUUGAAAAAUGUUAGUCAAUAGUUGAGAAAGAUAUGUAUGCAAAAGAUGUUUUGUAUGCAUAAAUGAAAAUUGAGUUUUGAACUAAUUUGACAUAUUAUUUCUUCAUUUAAAGUAUGUUUAUCUUUUGUUUUUUCAAUGGUUGAAAAAUAUAAAUCAAGAGUUGAAAAAGAUAUGCAUGUAAAAAGGUGUUUUAGAUGCAUGAAUGAAGAGUAAGUUAUGAACAAAAUUUGGGGUUUUUUGAACCAAAGGGAGGGCACGGUUUUGGGGUGGUUUUUUGGGUUGUGUUUGUGUUUUAUUGUAAACCACUCUCACAUCCUUUUAAAGCUAGAAAGUAGAAACCUUGUCACUUUUGUUUUUGGGUUUGAAAAAUCACCAAGAAUACACA
rnacentral:lncRNA from 1 species